rfam:Dichanthelium oligosanthes cultivar Kellogg 1175 unplaced genomic scaffold Do_version_2_scaffold692, whole genome shotgun sequence.
CAGCCACAGAAUAGCUUAUUCUAUGGCCAUCUGAAUUUACUAUCACGAUUCUACUGAUUUUACGAGACUGUGAAUACAUAUUUACGAUACAAAUGUGUUACCAUAACAAAUGCAGAGAUUUACUGCACUACCCUCAAGUGAUUUACUAUCAGAUGAUGGUAAAUAUCAUCACUAGUUAUGGUAACAUAUUUGUAUCGUAAAUAUAUAUCCACAGUCUCAUAAAAUCAGUAGAAUCAUGAUAGUAAAUUCAGGUGGCCAUAGAAUAAGCUAUUCUGUGGCUG